GGAAGGAAGGAAGGAAAGGGGAGUGGAGCCCCAAAUUAGAGAACCAAUGGCUUAAUCACAAGGACCCCUGUACCUGCUUUGCUGAAUAUCUACUAACAUUGCACCUAUGCAGACACUGGUGUGGCCCCUGUGCAAGGAUGACAUGGAAACUUGGAAUGCAUUCCAUAUUUUCUUCAGGGUUGUUGAAAAAGUUCUGAAGAUUAAUAGUGAUGAUGGUUGCACAGUGUGAAUGUACUUGAGGCCACUGAACUGUACACUUAAAAGGACUAAAAUGGUAAAUCUUAUGUUACAUAUGCUUUACCACAAUUUUUAUUUUAAAAGCAAAAAAACACAGCCCAAAGGGAUGGAGAGCUGAAAACAUUAUAGAUAGGAAGUAGACAUCUAUGAAGUAAAAGUCACAUGAUUCAUGAAAUAAAUCACAGGCAAAUGAAAAACAAAUAUUAAAAUCCAAAUAUAAGCUCUCAGACAUGAUAUUAACCUGAUGUAAGUUCAGAGUAGUGGAAAGAGCAAGCUCAGAUAUCUCCUGGCUUCAAAGUCCAACUGUGCCACUUACUAACUGUGUGAACUUGGAUAAGACACCUAAACUCUGUAACCUGUUUCCCUUACAUAUAAAAUGAAAGUAAUGACAUCAUAUUCACAAACUUAUUAGAAGAAUUAAACAAGAUAGCAUGGGCAAGGCAUUUAGCAUUGUUGCUGGCUCCUAGUAGGUCCUUUUCUCAUGUCUUUUCUUCCUGGUUCAGCAUUAAAAGAUUGCAAAUACAAUAUUUUGUGGAAUAUAGAAACUAACUUGGAAAAUAAUCAAGAUAAAAUAAAAAACCAAAAAAUACAGAGACAGUUUUUGGAUAAUAGCUUUUGGCAGAGGCAGACCAGGUAUAGCAAAAACAGUAAAUUGUCGAAAAAGAUUUUUAAAAACACUAGCUGUAGGGUACUGGCCUAACUGCUGUGAUUAAGAAACCUUUGUCAUUCCUGUGCAAGGAUGACUUGGAAAUUUGGAAUGCAAGAUGGAAGUCGAUUUUCCUCUGUAGAAGACUUCAGAAAUAAACUGCAGAGGCAGCAAGUCACCUCCUCUGCCCUCAACACAAGAUUUUCAUCUUUGGGUCCAAUGUGUUAUUGUAGACCUGGCCUCAUCUAGGUAGCAGGGAGAGUGGGGAGGCAUGGACAUUUUAAGAGCAUAACUCAGAAAUGGCCUAAGUCACUUCAUUUCCACCCACAUUCUGUUGGCCCAAUCCAUGCAGGAAAGGAAACUGGGAGCAGUGAACCCAGCUGGUGGGCAUGAUUUUAGCUAGAUUUCAGAAUUCUGUUAUUCAAUAUGAGGAGAAUGCAUGUUGCUGGAAAAAGAGCCAUCCCUGUCAUGACCCAUGGUUCUCUAGUCUAUGACCACAGGCUUUCCAAAGGAGUGCAGCCACAUAAAGCCCAGUUUCCUGCUUAUUAAUUUAGUCAGUAAAUACUUACUACUUGCUAAGUGCUGGGCACCGUUCAAUAUGUUGCCAAUACAGCAGACUGCAAAACAGACGAGGUUCCUGAGAAAGCCAUGUUCAGCAGGCAGAGAAAGUAAACAAGAAAUCAGAGAAAACAUUGGAUACCAGUAAGUGCAAAGAUGGAAAUGAAGGGGGCAGAGGAGCAAGGGACUUGGUGGUUGCUUUGGUUGAGUGCUUAGGGUGCCUCUUCCUGAGGAAAUGACGUGUACAUUGAAACCAGAAUGACGGAGUUGCCUGGCAUCUCAACAGCAUGAAGCAGUAAAUGCCAGCUGGGGGAACUGCACGGUGGAAGUUCUGAUGGUGCAAAGAUCUUUCGGGUUUUGUGGUGUGGAAGGGCUGGUGUGGCUGGAUUCAGUGGGAGAUGGGAGAGAAGACAUGGAGGGAAACAGAAGGCAGCCAGGAGCAGACUUUGGAAGCAUGGGAAACUGGUCCUCUGGCAUUUUCCAGCAUUGAGCACAUUAUUUGCAAGGUAGGAACUCAAAUGAGUACUAAAUAAAUAAACUAAGAUAAAGACCCGAGGCUGUUGACAUCUACAGAUCUCCUCUGCUCUGCCAAUAGAAUGACUCUCUGUGCAUCCUGUACACACCCUUCCCUCCUGUUUCUCAGAACCUCUUAUAAGAUUGCUCUCAGUGUCUUUGAUGGUCCAAUGUCCCCUUGUUAAAAAUGGCCUUAGGAAAGGAACUUGGGGAGAGGGCAGGUAUCUGAAUAAAGCAACUGCACCUGCUCUUUGGCUUUCUCUACUCUGUUAAACAGCUCCAGUCCUCUUAAUUUCUCUUCCUGUGGUUUUGCAAAUCUGGAACCAGCCUGUCACCCUUGAUUAGGAUCAAGUUGGAGGAGGCAAUAUAACAGUGAGUGACAGGAUGGAAUACUGGUUAAGCCAGUAGCCUUUACAACCAGACUGCUUGGGUUUGAGAAAGGACUUAAAAUGUCACCAAAAUGAGGUCACAAAAUUCUUCAGCUCAGGGAAAUAUAAGGCAUGAGACUGCAGCCAACCAGGUCAUCCUGGCCUAGCAUGGCAAGUUUCUGUGGACUCUCUGACACCACACAGAUAAUAAAUAACCCGAGACGAAGCGUUUUUCUGCUUAUGACAGUUCUUACCUGGAAUGUAUAGCAUAAGUGACCAAUGACCAGCGAAUGUCCUGUGCUGUUCUUUUGACCAGUGCAGUUGGAACAACCAGUUUGCGAUCACCAUCUUUUUGUUCUUUUAAAAAUAAUCUAUAAAAACCCAGACCUCCCCCGCCUCCCCCAGAUGCCAUCUCAGGAGCACUUAUCUGGGCAACUAGAAUUGGAGUUUUCUUCCUGAGUGUCCAGCCCCACUUUGGCUGAAGUGAACUCUUGGUUCCACCACUUUCAUGCCUCAACUUGCUUUGGUUGACAGGUUUCAACCCCAGUUUGGCCAGUUACUAUCUGGGUCACCCUGAGUUAGGUACUUAGCCGCUCUGGUCCUCAGUUUUCUUGCCUGUGAAAUGGUGGAUAAUAAUUGUCCAUGACUGCAAUCCCAAAAGAUCCGAAAUGAGGAUUUUUUUUAGUAACUCAAUUGAGGGUAAAACCUGGCCUUAGGUGAUCUGAAGCAAUUUGGCAGGGAACUUGACAUGAAUUAAUUUUAUUUAUCCCACUUUUUGUAUUACUCUAUUGUACUGCGGAAAUAUUAAUGUAUUUGAUUAGGGGACAAACCUAGACCCUGCUGGGGGAGUUAUGAAAUUUAUAACCUAUGGAUCAUACUUCUUCUUUUUUAAUUAGCUUUUAGUUGUAGUUGUACACAAUACCUUUAUUUAUUUAUUUAUUUUUAUGUGGUGCUGAGGAUCAAACCCAGCGCCUCGCACGUGCUAGGUGAGCGCUCUACCCCUGAGCCACAACUCCAGCCUCUGGAUCAUACUUCUUAAAAUCAGAAUAAUUAUGAAUUCCAAAAACUAUUAGGCCUCAAGGAUUUCAGAUAAGAGGCAAACUGAUUUCAGAUAAGGACAGUACUGUCCUUAAAACAUGACAGCAAGAAUGAAUGCAAGAUUUCAGUUGUGAUCAUUGGACUAGCUCAAAAUAUCAUGAGGAAGGUACUUGGAUGUCAGUCAUCCCCCAAACUCACGUUUCACUAUUGUGGGUGAGAUGACAAAAUGUGGCUCAAAUAUAUCAUUAGGUGAAUUUGCAGGUGCUCCUCAGGGCAGUCCCACUGUGCUCUGGCUUUGGCCAAUCCAUAGCCAUUAGUUUCAGAGAUGAUUUCUCAUAAGUGGGGACCCUUGGGUACAAGAAACAGAAGUCUGCAUGAGCUAGCUCAAGCCAAAGGAGUCUCAAAGAACCCAAGAUCAAGAGGCAACUGGGCCUUAGGGAGGUUCUGGAACCAGAGAUAAGAGCACCACAGAAAUUUAAGAACUCCCUCCUUCUCUCUUCCCUACUGUAUGCAAAUCCAUUCCAUCCAUCCAUCUGGCUACAGAGUAGCUUUCUCUACUUUGUAAUUAACUUUUUAGAAAAUGACCACUGCCUGAACCCCCCGAGUCAUAUCAUCUUCAUUAUGAGCACAGUCCUACAGGGGUUGGACUUCUAAGUCCAAAUUCCAAACUUCUCAGGACGGGGGACAUUGGAAUAAGUCUUAUCAUUUCGAGAGAGGAGACACUUCAUGAAGGAAGUGGUCAGAUACUAUAGUUGGGCAAGAUUAUUUAAUUUUUCUGUGCCUAACUCAUCCAAGAGAACUCUCAGCAGUUUUUAACACUAUGCAAAAUAGUGUUAAAAAUUGUUCAUUGAAUUCAGCAGAAAGAUCAUUAAUGACCAUUUUGAGCAGGUAGAAGGAUAGCAGGGCUGAAGUUGUGGUACACUGAAUGUAAAGAACAGGAGACAGGAGGUACAGAUGACUCUCAUGAAUUUUUGAUUUAAGCCAAGCAGAUGAGUGAUAGAUGCAAUUAAUUAUUAUUGUUCAAUGUGGUUUAAGUGGCUAAGGGGUGGAGUGGUAUGUAGGGACAAGAUCACUUUGCCUAAACAUGGUUGCUACCUCAGUAACUUUGUGGAUGGGGAAGGGAUGGGAAGCUCCUGGUAGAAUGGGGGUAAAGAUAAUAAAGAGUGGAGAAUGGAAGAAAACAAGAGUGUGUGUGUACGAGUAUUUGUGUGUGUGUGUGUGUAAGCUACUCAAAAGACAUGGCGGGAAUAGUUACUGCUGUGGUUUGGAUGUUGAACAUCCCCCAAGGCCCAUAUAUGACAGCUUGGUCCCCAGGCACUGUUGGAAAGUGGUGGAUCUUUUGGGAGGUGAAAUCUAGAGGAAGGUUGUUAAUCCUGGGGGCUGCCCUUGGGAGGCAGUUCUCUGAGAGGGUUGUUAGGAAAGUUCAAGUCUGGCCCCCACUCAGUCCUUUCUCUACUGCUGGCUUGGGAUGUCAUCUCUUGCUUGCUCCCCAAGGACACUCCAGCCAUUGACAUCUGUCAUGCACCAUAAGAUGAGGCAAUUAAGGGGUGGUCCUCACCAAGCUGGCCCAAUGCCAUUUGGACUUUGAACACUGUGAGCUAAACAAACCUCCUUUUCUUUAUAAGUAUCCUAUCUCAGGUGUGUGGAUAUAGUAAUGAAAAGCUGACUCGUACAGUUUUGGAUUCACAACAGUCCUCUUUAAAGCUAGAAAAGUACCAAGUGAUUGGGCAGGUGGUCAGGUUGUGAGUAGAGAUGUUUCUGACCCCAUUAUCUUUCCAUCUGGGAAAUGUUUCAGUGGAGCAAGGCAAGGAAAAGACCAGCAAUAGCCCAUUUCGGCCCUUGGUUAGAUUUCCUAGGGAGUAAAAUCACACCUCCCAGUCCUACUUGCUAAUCACCAUGCCAUCAGAGUCUAUGUAACCCCAGCUCGAGGUAUUACCUAUGAGAUGCAAAAACUGAGUAUGCAGUUAGUGAAGAGAUGUCUGCAGUCUCAGUAAAACCAGGCCUUGUUAGGAAGAGCUGUGGAUUGGAAGGCAGGACACCUGGGUUUGAAUCAUAGCCACUGAAAACUUGGGUGCAUCACUUACUCUUACUGGACCUGAAUGUUCUUAUCUGUAAAACAGAGUUGUACUCAAUGUUUUCUAUCAUUACUUCUUGCUCUAACUUGCUAAGAUUCUCCUUGUCUUUUGAGCUUCAAGGUUUCAGAGCAUUCUAGAUCUUUACCAGAAAGUAUGAGUCUGGGGAAGUUGAAACCCAGAAGAGCCAGCUGCAUUAGUUUGCUAGGGCUGCUUAACAAACUACCACAGACUGGGCGGCUUACCAAAAGAACACUUAUUGUAAAGCUUAUCACAGUUCUGGAGCCUCCAAGCCCAACAUCAAGGUGUCUCCGCUGGGCUGCAAGGGAAUCUGUUCCAGUCCUCUCCCCUCUCUUCAGAUUUGCUGGCAGUCUCUGGCCUUCCUUGGCUUAUAGAUGCAUCAUCUAAUCUUUGUUUUCAUCUCCAUGUGGGAUUCUCUAUGCAUCUGUCUCUAUGUUCCCAUUAAAAAAAAAAAAAAAAAUCAGGACACCAGGCCAGGUCGAGUGGCCCACACCCUGCAAUCCCAGCAACUCUCUCUCUCACACACACAUACACAAAGGGCACCAGUUUAGGGCCGCUCUAAUGGCCUUAUUUUAUUUAUUUAUUUUUAUUAAAGCAUUGUAGUUAUACAUUGUCAUUGGUUCAUUUUGACAAAAUCAUACAUGCAUGGGAUUUGGUUUCAGUCCCUACCCUCUGUUUCCUCCCCUCCUUUCUCUCCCUAGUCUUCUUAUCUACUGAUUUUCCUUUGCUCAUUUAUUUUUGAUUAGAUCUUCUAUGUACACAAUAAAGGUGAAAUUCCCUGUGGUAUAUUUAUAUAUGCACAUAACGUGAUUUUGUUAAAUUCAUUCCACAUUUCUUCCCCUUUCUCAUCCCUCCUCCUUCCCUUUUGAUCUCCUUCUACUCCACUAUUCUUCCCUGAUUAUGAUAUUCCAUUCCUUUCCACCUUCUUUCCUUUAUUUUGCUGUAGCUUCCACGUAUAAGAGGAAACAUUUCACCCUUGAUUUUCUGAGUCUGGUUUAUUUCACUUAGCAUGAUGUUCUUCAUUUCCAUCCAUUUACCAGCAAAUGCCAUAACUUCAUUCUUCUUUGUGGCUGAGUAAAACUGCAUUGUGUAUAUAUGCCACAUUUUCUUGACCCAUUCAUCUAUUGAUGGGCAUCAGGGCUGAUUUCAUAAUUUGGCUAUUGUGAAUUUGCUGCUAUAAAUAUUGAUGUGGCUGCAUCCCUAUAGUAUGCUGAUUUUAGAUCUUUUGGAUAUAUACCAAGGAGUGGGAUAGCUAGGUUUUAUAGUGGUUCCAUUCCUAGUUUUUUGAGGAAUCUCCACAUUGUUUUCCAGGGUGGUUGUACUAGUCUACAGUCCCACCAACAAUGUGCAGCUGCCUUUCCCCCACAUCCUGAAUAACAUUUAUUAUAUUUGUUUUCUGGGUUAAUUGCCAUUCUAAUUGAAAUGAGAGGAAAUCAGUGUAGUUUUGAUUUACAUUUAUCUAAUUUCUAAAGAUGUUGAACUUUUUUUCAUAUAAUUGUUGGCCAUUUGUGUUUCUCCUUUUGAGAAAUGUAUUUAGUUCUUUAUCAAUGGCCUCAUUUUAAUUCCAUUAUCUCUAUAAAGAUCCUAUUUCUCGGUAAGGUCACAUUCUGAGGUAGUGGGAGUUAGUACCUCCAUAUAUCUUUUCUGGAAGACACAAUUUGACCUAUAAUACCAGGUGUAGUGCCUGGCUAGAUGUUUCUUCAUGGAAGAAAUGGACCAAAAGUAGAUUUGGGGAUUUUUUUUCCCAUUAGCCAAUAUGUUUUUCUUAUUUUUGUGCAAUACUCAGAGUUAUGUUUAUCUAUCUUCUUGCUUGUUCCCUCUGUUGUGUCUCCGGCUCCAAUUUAUAUAAAAUUUUACUUCAUUUCCCUCAUUCUUCCUAAUUGGAUCUUGGAAAAUAAAGAAAAAAAUAUGUUCUUUACUCUCUGGUUCACCUUCCAGAGAAAGAAUGCAACCAAUAUCUUCAUGGAAGCACAAUUCUGCUUUUAAAGCCUCUUUUCUUCUCUACAUUUCCAGGGUCUCAUGGAAAUCUUGGUGUUGAAGGGACCUUAUAUGUUUUCUAAGCCCCCAUGUGGCUUGCCACACCCUUAGGCAUCUUUGCAUGACCAUCUCUCUACUUCUGAAGUAUUAUGAUAAUGACUGUAAGCAUUAGAUGUAUCUAUGUUGGGCUGAAAUCCAUUUCCUCAUCUGUCACCAAGAGCAAUCUAGAGCUUGACAGAGCAAAGCCAUUCUGUGUUCCAAGUUCCAUGUUCCUUUGGGCAGCUCUGGAAGCAACACCAGUUACUCAGUCCCAGAUUCCUAAUAACAUUGAGACACAGAUUUCUCUGGUUUCACAAGUUAAUUAGCUAAAGUCAGGGUCUGUAACUAACUAGUUGAGAUAACUUGGGAAGGUUAUAGAACCUCUUUGAAUAUCAGGAUCCACAUCCUUGAACUGAGUUACAGCAAAAGAAUUUGGGUUUCAAGUGCCUGCCCUCUCAGUAGCUUAACUUUAAUGAACCUCAGUCUGUUAAUCCACAAAUGAGGACUAAAGUACCUGCCCUCAAUUCGUCAUAGGAUUGAUGAGAACAAAUGCGACAGUGUUUGUAAAAGUGAUUUGUCGCCUGUUACCGAUGUUGCUGCUGCUGCCAUUCUUAAGGGCCUGGCAGGAGGUUCUCUUUCUAGACUGGGUUAAGACAGGAAAUACAUUAAAAAAACAAAAUAAAACCACUUUUGCUCCAAGUCACCCUAAACAACUAGGAAGUGUUUGGGAUAUGAAUGCGUAGGAAAACCAGGAGGGGUUAUUCAAAAAAUUAUUUUCCUAAUCUAUGGCUCAAGUUCUGAGUUUUAGCCAGCUUCUAGAGGUGUCUGGGAAAGAGCCAAGUUCAGCUCUUAGAAGAUCAAAUUGGGGAGAAGUGCAUGUAUUGUUCUGGAAUAAAUUAAGCAAAACACAGGAUGACAACCAUUCUUUUGAUCCCUUCCUCUGUCCAAGUCAAGAACUAGCUCCUCUUGACUUUAGAGACUUUAAGAAAAAAGUGGACACAAAAGAGUUCUUUUGUAAAGAAUCACAAGAAAAUAAAAUGCUGGGUGUGUUCUUUCCUGGCCACCUCUCCUCUUCAUACCUCUUUCUUGUAGCAUUAAACAGAACAACAGAACUCUGUAUGCAACUCACAGAUGAAACCAUUACAGAACUAGGAAGGUAUUUCCCUCCCGGAUGUGGACCUGAGACUCCACAGGUAUGGCCCAGGGCUACUUCUCAGCAGCACCAAUGGUCAGUGGGGCUCCUCAUAGAUCCAUGCACACCCAUUCCAUUCCUGGGGUAUGCCAGGUGAGUUAUGACCUUCCUGGUUCUCAUGAUGUCCUGUUUUUGUCUAAGAGUGUCCUGUGGCCCUUUCAACCAGUCUAACACAAAGAGAAUGGGGCUGCUUUCAGGAGCCCGAGGGUCUGGCGUCUGUGCUGCUUACACAUGAGCAAUUUUAGUAUCCAGAGAUUCACAUCAGGAGCUAAUUAAAGACAAUCCUAAAUUAUUUAUCUGGGUUAGAUUUCUGUUCACGCUUCUUCAGAAUAAAAAUUCUAUUUCCCUGAUAUUAUCAUAAACCAUCUUAAUGAAUCACAAAUGUUUGUUUUUGUGCCUCUCUGUUAAUUUUUGUUUUGGCUCUGACCUUGGUUUAUAAAAGAGCAAGCUUCAAGAUUUCUACAGUCCUUGCUACCACCAAGUGUAAUCAGCUGAGAAAAUGUUUUGUAGCACUGGUAAAACCAUCUGAUAAUGGCCUGAAUUUAUAUUUAGGGAUAACAGAAUAGGGACUUUGAAGCCUUAUCAUUGAAAAACACUCAAAAGCAAGCAAAAUAUAAAAUACACAUAAUUUUUAAAAGAUCAAGUUACCCAUAAUUAGAGUACUGGUUCUCAAGCUUUUGUAUUUUUCUGUUACCUCAGUAGGUCCUUGGUGUAGCCAUUCCAACUCUGGUUUUUGUUUCUGUUUUUGUGGCACGGAGGAUUGAAUCCAGGGCCUCAUGCAAGUUAGGCAAACUCUCUGCCACUGAGCCACAUCCCUAUGCCUCAUCUUUAAAUUUUGAGCAGGAUCUUGGUAAGUCAUUGAGGCUGACCUGGAACUUGCAAUCCUCCUGCCUCAGCCUUGCUGAUGGCUUGGAUUAUAGGUGUGGGCCACCAUAUCUGGUUCAAACUCUGGGUUAUUUGCUUAUUUAUUUUUUUUAAACUUUGAGAAUAUUUAUUGUAGGAUUUGAUUUAGGGGGAAAAAAACCUAAUGAAACACAUCUAUGCAUGCAUAAUUGUGGAAAUCCACUGAAGGAAGGAGGAGUAAAUUAAAUAGAAGAUAUUGAGAGAUGAUUGAUGGAAAAGUGAGCUUUAGAUGAGUCAAAAAGUCUAAGAAAGAUUUAGUUAUACCAGAUUGGAAGUUGGGGAGAUCCUUCUGAAAAGGUUGAAGGAACAAAAACAAAACUAAACUAAAAUGACUUGAGUCAAACUCUGGUUUUGAAAAAGCUCUAGUGGUGAUUCUGAAAGACUCCUCUCCAAGAGUAAUUUACAAUUUCUAAUUCACACUACCAGCCCCAGCCCAUCAAAAUGUGAUGCUAUUGGCUCUUCCUAACUCAAUAAAGUCUCUUUAUUUUAUUUAUAAACUAAAUGAUAAACUUAUUUGGUGCAUGCUUUUGUAAAAUUUACACUAUUUUACAAAGUUUUGCUCACAGGCAAAGUUCUUUCUGUUACAACCCUUAUUUAUUUUUUCUUAGUCUUAAAUCCUGUUAGAGUUAAAAAAAUAAAUUUAGUAAGAAAUAAUUUGAAAAAAAUCUUUUUAAUGGCUGUGUAUAUGUGUUUUCAUAUUUACAACUGUGUUAGUCUGGGUUUUGGGGGUUGUAACAUCACAAUUCACCUCAAACCUGCUCAGGCAAAAAAAGUGAAUGUAUUGGCUCAUGCAGUGAUAAAGUUCAAGCUGUGGCUGCUUCAGCUAGACGCAGGGAUUUCAUUAAUCAUCCCAAUGGUUUUCGUAACCUGAGCCCCCCCCCCCCCUUUUUUCCCAUUGUAAAUAAACUUCAUUCAUGUGGCCAAGACAGAAAGUCACCAAGAGCUUGGGAUACCCCCCCUCCCCGCCCAGCUAAGCAGCCCUCGAAGGAUCUCGAUCCUGCUAUCAGUAUUAUCAGCUGCAGAAGGCUCCACUGGUUGCCUCUGGUUUGGGUCUUAUCUUGUGGCUGGUGCUGGGGCAGAGAUUGAUGGCACUGUGAUAGUAGGAGCAAAUGUGACUCCAUUUUGUUUUAUGACUUCAUCCUGUAAAACAACCAUGCCAAGUAGAAGAGUCAUGACUGGAGCAAGAUGUUCUUUUCCUUUUGCUAUAGAAACCUUUAAGAACACGGAACUACCUAAUGGGGUAUUGUUUCUGUAACUAGGGUAACGGGGCUCUGUUUCUGUAACUGGGGUGACUGGGCUAACUGUGAUUGGUUAGGCUUCCCUCCGCUUGAUUGCACUGUCCCACUUCUGUAACCUGGCUUGCUUGCAUUGGCUAGACCCCCUAAACAUCCCUUUUGCGGUUUUCAGGCUUAUAAGGAUUGCCCUUGCAAUUGUUCGGGGCUGAUCAGGGGAAUAGCUUUAUGUUCUGGUCAGCCGCCACUGGUGUGCUUCAAUAAAGGCUUGAUUCGAUUAUACGUGAGUGGUCUGGAAGUCAGUUUAUGAAACCCUGGGACGAAGCUUUAACUAUAACAUUUGGGGGCUCGCCCUGGAUCCAUUUCUUCCCUACCCUCACGCCAAAUUUGCCUCCAAAAACGGGGCUUUGGACCUCGGUCCCGGAGUAGAGGGGAGCUCCUGAGAGACGUUCCUCAGCCUCACUCCGAGGACGACUCCAAUCCAUCCUAGGACGCUCUGAAAAGCUCCUGCAGGCUGUCAGUUCUGGUGAGUCGACUCUUCUCUGGGGGAAAAGGUCAGAUUGGACACAGUCGCUUACACCUUCUCCGGGACAGGAUGAGACGUUGUCACUGUCUCCCUGGAGGUCUCCCUGUGAGACCUCAUCUGUCUGUAUCUGGGGCCCACUGGAGGCCUCCCUGGGAGGCCUCAUCUGUCUGGGGGCAGGAUGAGAUGGUCGUCUCUGCCCCAUUAGAGGUCUCCCUGUGUGACCUCAGCGAUUGUUGCUUGUCCUGUGUCUGUUUUGCUGUUUGUCGUUUCUCCAGCAUCCUCUUGCUGUUUGUCAUUUGUCCCAUGUCUGUUCGCUGGCUGUUUGUCCUGUUCUUCUAUCUGAGUGUUGUGUGCGGGCCCUUUUCCUGUUCUCAUAACCACUCUUCUUUCACCAGGACUCCUUCGAUCCACCGACAUCAGAAACAAGGAAAUGCUACAUUUCCUCUACCUGGACCCCUUUAACUUGUUUUCUUAACAAUUUUCAGGACUUUGUUGGUUUGUUUUUGUUUGUUUCCUUUGUGUUCUGUGUUAAUUUCUACCUCAGUUUGUUUCUAAUGGGAAAAAAUGGUUAAAAUGGUUUUAACUGUGCUCACUACAGCUUACAUUAAAAUGUAAAGUGCUGCCAACAGGACUAAAAAAAUUGUCAAAAGUAAAAGCUAAAGGUAAAAAGAAAAAGACAUUCUAGAGAUUGCCUUCAUUUAGGAACUGGGCCAGGUGGCCAACUGGGUAAAUCAUGUCAGUUCCUAUAGAGGACAGAUUAAAACUAAAUGUUUUAUAAAAUUAUUAUUCCUAUAUUGUAUAACAAAAAGCAUAAUUUUGUCUAGAAAUUUGGCUUUUGUCUCUCAGUAUUUACAAGCAUGAAUAACUCCCAACUAUUAAAAAAUGGUCUAAAGAUUUUUCAAUGUCAGGCUAAAAGUUGGUGGCUGCUAUCCAAGAAACCAGAAAAACCAGUUUAGAAUGGGACCCCAACCUGGGGGACUCUCCCAAGGAGACCAAUGAAACUGUGUCUUUGGGAAGUUCCUCCAGGGAAAAAUAAGUCCCCUUCGUUUGUCUAUGUUCCCUCAACUCUUUUCAGCUUUCAUGAACAGGACCACCUCAGAAAAAAGAAGUGCCCACCCCAGGUGACUUUACAUCCUGUUCUUCCUGAGCCAGAUUUUUACCAUGGACUCCUUGACCCACUCAGUUUCUAAAAAGGGACUCCAAACUGCUUGCCGUCUGCACAUCGCCCCCUUUCAGCUGGAAGUAGCAAGAACAGUCAUCGCCCUUUUCCCUUACAGCAGUUGGAGGUCCCUAAUAUUAGAAGAAAAAUUACGGUCAAUGUAGAUGUUUGCCAACAUGUCUAGCUCAGGAAGAUGUACCUGGAAACUGCUCCCAAGAUCACCCUGGGUGAUCUCCCAGAAAGAGACACUUGCUUCCACAACCCAACUUAUAAGUGGAAAAAACUCCCUGUUCACCAAAAAUUGUGCUUUCCAGGUCCCGCUUUGAACUCCUUGACUAAAUCUCUAAACUGUCAAUAACUCUGAACUAUGUAACCUACUAUUUUGAUGGAGUAAAGGGAAAAGAACACCUGGACUUAUAAUGGGGUAUUGUUUCUGUAACUAGGGUAACGGUGUUCUGUUUCUGUAACUGGGGUGACUGGGCUAACUGUGAUUGGUUAGGCUUCCCUCCGCUUGACUGCACUCUCCCGCUUCUGUAACCUGGCUUGCUUGCAUUGGCUAGACCAGCUGAACAUCCCUUUUGCGGUUUUCAGGCUUAUAAGAGUGCCCUUGCAAUUGUUUGGGGCUAAUCAGGGGAACAGCUUUAUGUUCUGGUCAGCCGCCACCGGUGUACUUCAAUAAAGGCUGGAAGUCAGUUUAUGGAACCCUGGGACGAAGCUUUAACUAUAAUAGCACCACCUAGAACAUGUGGAAUAAGGCAGGGCUCUACAGAAAAGGGGUGAAGUUGCCUCUGGAAUAAGGGUUGGCAAACUUUUCUGUAAUGGACCAGAUAGUAAUUUUUUUGAGGGGGCUUUAUGAGCUACAAAACAUCUUUGCUGUCUAUUCCUUUCCUAAGCUUUCUCAUUUCUGUACUGAGGAAUAAGUGCUGAGAGUUGAAUCAAAACUGAACAAAAAAGGACAGCAGGGAUAAAGGAAAGAGGGAAAGAAGAAAAACAGGGAAGGAUGGCAAGAGCAUGUUUUAGAAAGUAUGAAGGCCACAUUUCUAAUUACAAAACAAUAAAACUGAAGGCGCCCUAGAAAGGUGAAGUUGGAAAAAAGGAGAAAAAAAAUCCUUCAGUGAGAGCCAUAAGAAGACAUGCUCACAGAAGAGAUGGAAACCACAACCUAAUAUUUUAAGGCAACUAAAAUAAAGCAAGAAAAUGAAAAAAAGCAAUAUCAAAAAAGCAACACAAAUCAAAGGUGGAAGAAAUCAGAAAUGAGGUAUUUGAAAAACAGGAAUAUUUGUAAAUAUAGGUAACAGAAUUACCUCAGAAAAGAAUUAGAAAUUUAAAAAAUCAUUUCAGAAACUAAGGUUAAAUUAUCUACAAUAAAAGAACAAAUAAAUAUAUUAUCUUUUUUUUUUUUUGCAUGCUGGGGAUUAAACCCCAGGCUCUAUCACAAAGUUUUACUCCAGCCCAUAUAUUCAUUUUUUCUCAAAACUAAGACAGCUUUAUUGUCAUUUAUUAUAAAAGUAAAACAUAUUACCAUAAAAUUAAAGCAACAUAAAGUAUAAAGGAAUAUAAAUAUCACCAGAAUAUAAAUAUCACCAGAAUAUAAAUACCAUUGCACAGAGAUAUUGUUAAUAUUGUUAAUAUUUUGGAAAACGACCUCCCCCAGGGAGAAAACUUGACAUAUUUAUUUUUUUAAAAAUUUUUAGUUGUAGAUGGACACAUACCUUUAGUUUAUUUAUUUUUAUGUGGAGCUGAGGAUUGAACUUAGUACCUCUCACAUGCAAGGCAUGCACUGUACCACUGAGCCAAGACCCAGGACCAUAUAUUAAUUUUUAAAAAGGAGAUUAAAAGGAGGAAAAAUUGAGAAAGAAAAAAAAUGAAGAGAUCGAAUUUGAGAUAAAAUGAGCUUUAGAAAAUAUGUAAAGAAGUACGAACAUUAUGUAUAAUAAUAUUCAGAGUAUACAAAGAACUCAAAAAAUUAGACAAUAAGUUAACAAAUAACCCAAUCAACAAAUGGGCCAAGGACCUGAACAGACACUUCUCAGAGGAGCACAUACAAUCAAUCAACAAGUACAUGAAAAAAUGCUCACCAUCUCUAGCAGUCAGAGAAAUGAAAAUCAAAACCACCCUAAGAUACCAUCUCACUCCAGUAAGAUUGGCAGCCAUUCUGAAGUCAAACAACAACAAGUGCUGGCGAGGAUGUGGGGAAAAGGGUACUCUUGUACAUUGCUGGUGGGACUGCAAAUUGGUGUGGCCAAUUUGGAAAGCAGUAUGGAGAUUCCUGGGAAAGCUGGGAAUGGAACUACCAUUUGACCCAGCUAUUGCCCUUCUCGGACUAUUCCCUGAAGACCUUAAAAGAGCGUACUACAGGGAUACUGCCACAUCGAUGUUCAUAGCAGCAGAAUUCACAAUAGCUAGACUGUGGAACCAACCCAGAUGCCCUUCAAUAGAUGAAUGGAUAAAAAAAAUGUGGCAUUUAUGCACCAUGGAGUAUUGCGCAGCACUAAAAAAUGACAAAAUCAUGGAAUUUGCAGGGAAAUGGAUGGCACUAGAGCAGAUUAUGCUAAGUGAAACUAGCCAAUCCCUAAAAAACAAAUGCCAAAUGUCUUCUUUGAUAUAAUGAGAGCAACUAAGAACAGAGCAGGGAGGAAGAGCAGGAGGAAAAGAUUAACAUUAAACAGAGACAUGAGGUGGGAGGGAAAGGUAGAGAAAAGGGAAAUUGCAUGGAAAUGGAAGGAGACCCUCAUUGUUAUACAAAAUUACAUAUAAGAGGUUGUGAGGGGAAUGGGAAAAAAAAAAACAAGGAGAGAAAUGAAUUACAGUAGAUGGGGUAGAGAGAGAAGAUGGGAGGGGAGGGGAGGGGGGAUAGUAGAGGAUAGGAAAGGUAGCAGAAUACAACAGUCACUAAUAUGGCAUUAUGUAAAAAUGUGGAUGUGUAACCGAUAUGAUUCUGCUAUCUGUAUUUGGGGUAAAAAUGGGAGUUCAUAACCCACUUGAAUCUAAUGUAUGAAAUAUGAUAUGUCAAGAGCUUUGUAAUGUUUUGAACAACCAAUAAAAUAAAUAAAUAAAUAAAAGAGUAA